UGGAAGGGGGUUUUGUGUGUAAAUAAUUUACUAGUAUGACCUAAAUGCUCCUGGGCCUUUGUUUAUUUUUAUGAAGUCAGUAAAGAACCACGCGGAUUCUGAGACUGGAAUUUGGGGACCAGAGGCUGAGAGGGUGACACAGAGCAAAGGCAUCUGACCCCUCCAUGCGGGAAGGCAGCUGGGCUGGGAGCGGAAGGCUGCCUUCCAAGUUCCCAACUUUUUCUGCAUACAGAAAGCUUUGUGGAGAGAUGCGAGAGGGAGAAAUGCCACAUAUCUACAGGUGGCUGCCCCAGAGAGGUCACUGACGACAUUUUGGAACCCGACCGUCAGACAUUUGGGAUUAGCUUUCCUGGAAAGGAGAGGACAUUGGCCCUCUAGUGCCACUUGGGAAAUGCCAAGAUCCCAGCCCACAGCUCUGCAGGGGAGGUGUUACUUGGCAACUCUCCUGCGUGUGGCCAGUCCAGCUGGAUAAUAGGCCCAGCAGUAACUCCUAGCAGCAGGAAACUCUCCCCUUCGAUGGCUACCUGAUGUCCUGUGUGAAAUGAGAGUUCAGCCAACGGUACAGGCAAUUCUUAGUGGACAAGUAUCCACAGAACAUCAUUUCUACAGCAACUGGUGUCUUCAUGUCUGCCAUGACUAUUCUCCCUGCCAGCCCAGCAGAGAGGACUGAAAUUACUUGGAAAUAAAUUUCUCCAUCAAAGUAUCCUUCCAACUGAGGCUUUGCACUGCCCUGCAAUAACAGCACAUGCACGGCCUGUCCCGCUUUGUUUCUUGCUGUAGUUUAUCUGUGGAUGGACAAUUGCUAUCUCUAGGCCUACAGAGUGAGCAUUGUUAGACAUAUUAAAAAUCUGAAAA